rnacentral:rRNA from 1 species
UACGUAGGGAGCAAGCGUUGUCCGGAUUUAUUGGGCGUAAAGAGCUCGUAGGCGGUUCCGUAAGUCGGGUGUGAAAAAUCUGGGCUCAACCCAGUGGAGCACCCGAUACUGCGGUGACUGGAGUCCGGUAGGGGAGUGUGGAAUUCCUGGUGUAGCGGUGAAAUGCGCAGAUAUCAGGAGGAACACCGACAGCGAAGGCAGCACUCUGGGCCGGUACUGACGCUGAGGAGCGAAAGCAUGGGGAGCGAACAGG